CUAUGCGCCUUGCCAGCCCGCUCAGGUGUGCCAGCAGCCGCGGUAAUACAGAGGUCUCAAGCGUUGUUCGGAAUUACUGGGCGUAAAGCGCACGCAGGCGGUUUGUUAAGUCAGAUGUGAAAUCCCCGGGCUCAACCUGGGAACUGCAUCUGAUACUGGCAAGCUUGAGUCUCGUAGAGGGGGGUAGAAUUCCAGGUGUAGCGGUGAAAUGCGUAGAGAUCUGGAGGAAUACCGGUGGCGAAGGCGGCCCCCUGGACGAAGACUGACGCUCAGGUGCGAAAGCGUGGGAGCAAACAGG
rnacentral:rRNA from 1 species